GUCUAUAGCUAUACCACCCUGAAUAUGACUGAUCUUGGAAGCUAAGCAAGGUUGGUCCUGGUUAGUGCUUGGAUGGGAGACUGACUGGACCUUCUAAUAGUGGAAUUAAGGCA
ensembl:rRNA 5S_rRNA 5S ribosomal RNA